GGGUAAAAGUCGUAACAAGGUUUCCGUAGGUGAAUCUGCGGAAGGAUCAUCACCAAAACAACAAAAACAAAAACCAAAUCAAAAACCCUGACGCCUGCCGUCAGAGUUUUGUGGGGCCCCCCCUCCCGGGGGGGGGUUUCUUGUUCACCAAUCGGGCGCCAACAGGCGUUUUUCUUUCCCGGCACGCCCUGCCGUGUACCCUUCCGCGGGGUUUACGGCCCCGGGCACCGGGCAGAAAAACGCGGUUGCGCUUUUAUUAACGUCUCAAAAAAACAGACUCCAUACAAAAAAAUAUGACCUGUUUAUAAUUAAAACCAAAACAAACAAACAAAAAAAUAAUAAGACAACUUUUAACAACGGAUCUCUUGGCUCUC
rnacentral:misc_RNA from 1 species